CAGACAGAGGGAGUCCUGGAUGAAUGGCAAACCCUUCAGAUUCUAAUUUGUUUCUCAAUCAGUUGCUUCCUCGUGUGAAAUGAGGGGACAGACAGCUGAUCUUUCUGAGCUGCCCAUGGCUGGGACCACUGCCUCCAUUCCCAACACCCUGCUGGGGACCCCGCCUUCCAAAGAACAUGCCCCAGGCACACAGGUGAGCUCCCGCCAUGCACUCCCCGUGAAAGGGAAGCCGUCUGGAGGCAGUGUGGCACCUGAAGACGCUGGAGCUGCUGCUGUCAGGGACACACGCCCUGCCCAUUCAUCUGCCUUCUGCGCCGGGAGCCCCCGCAGAUGCGGAAGAUGCAGGGAAUGAUUCAGCCCCAGCCUUAAGAAAAAGAGGCACUGAAGAAAAUGAGUAAAGAGGAGCAGAGUUUCUUUUUUCCUCCCAAGUGAAUCAUUGAAAGAAGUAAGUUUCCCUUCAAUUUACAUUUCAGUUUGGG
rnacentral:lncRNA from 10 species